GACUUGUGGAUAGGGGUGAAAGGCCAAUCAAACACCGUGAUAGCUGGUUCUCCCCGAAAUGCAUUUAGGUGCAGCGUUGAUUUAGUUUUAUAGAGGUAGAGCUACUGAUUGGAUGCGGGGGCUUCACCGCCUACCAAUUCCUGACAAACUCCGAAUGCUAUAAAAUGAUGAUCAGCAGUGAGGGCAUGGGUGCUAAGGUCCAUGU
rnacentral:rRNA from 1 species